ACAUUAGCUCAGUUGGUUAGAGCAUCCGGCGCAUAACCGGACGGUCUGGGGGUCGAGUCCCUAAUGGCCCA
rnacentral:tRNA from 1 species